CAUGGCAGUGUGAAAGGGGUUUCAGAUGAGAUCGCUUGAGGGGCAGGGGGACCCUUCAGGAGAAAAGCUGGCCUGAUAAGGAACCAAGGAUUUACCCUUCCAAGAUCCUGCAAGCACAGCACAGACAUGACCUCCCUGGGCUUCCAAACACCCCCUUGAGCUACGGAUCAAGGACAGGGAUUAUUUUACAGAUGGAAAAACUGGCGCUCAAAAGCAGCACAUGCACCAAUGCCCCUUCACAGAGCAGUGGCAAAGCCAGGAACAGAGCACAGGUCCAACAGCCAGGAGCAGAGCCAUGUUUCAGCCUCCUGGCCUGUACUCCUUCCAUGAAGCAGCUCCUAGAAGGCCCCCUCAGCAGAUGAGUCUUGUAAGGAUGGAAACUAUGGGGUUGCCUUUCUCACUUCUCUGUUCUCAUCAUUCAGCAUCCUCACAUCAAAGCAGAAUUGGAA
rnacentral:lncRNA from 1 species